GUGAACUGUGUAUAAGCCACAUAUUUUUGGUGCCUGUAGAUAUCUCCCAGAAGAACCUGUGACUGCUUUAUCUUGUGAAACACUCAGACACAGUAAAAGCUCCCAAGGUUCAGGGUAACAAUGUUUAGCACAUGAUGGAUUAAGACUUUGUAAGAAGGCCAGAAAAGCCUUUAUGCCAUAUAAGAUCAUCCCAGACCAGACAUGCAAAUCCUAAGAACAGCCUUUCUUUUAGUACUUUCUCUUCCAGAUCCAAAUGAAGCCAAGAAACAGAGAGUAUGCAAUUACAAUUACAAAUACUGUUCACUGGCAGCCGGAGUUUUGCUUUGAUUUUCUGGGAAGAGGGAAUAAGUCCUCAGAAGAAGCUUCCAGACUAGGAUGGGUUUGAAUCUUCUGCUCAUGCUGAGCCAAUUACAUCCUUAGAUGCAAAGAACUUGCUCCUGGGCCACUAAAAGCAUUGUGUAGGAGCAGAAUCACAAACCUGGCUGUGGAGCUGAAAGGUACUUUCCUUCAUAUUGUAAUCUUCAUUUUGGAGUGCACCCUCCAUGCUGAAUGGUACCUGCUAUUACGGCUCACUCCCGAACAAGGGCUGAAGCACCUCUGGGAAUGCCAUUUGGUGAUGUGUAUCUUUAGGCACCUACAUCCAUUCAAUACCUGCUUCCAAGCUCCAUUUUCAAAAGCAGCUUUCGGUAGGAUAGAUGACUGCUCUACACACAGCACAACAAUUAAAAUGACCUCACUGCUUCAGGAGGACAUUGACGAAUAUGUUCUGAGCACCGCAGCCAAUAGAUGUUGAUCAGAAACCGUGAUGAUGCAUGUUAUUUGCAGAAUGCAAGAUCUGGCACAGAGUUUUGAAUCUUUUAAUAUGAAAAUAUUGCUUCAGUGCAGCAAACUGCUUGAAGGUAUUAGAAAAAUAGUAUAAUAUUUAAGUACAUUGUUCCAUAGUGUUCUUACUUCUAAACUGAAUGUUGGAUUGAAAGUCCUUUGAUUUAGCUGUUUUUAGGCCCAGAUUGCUAAUAUUGUAGUGGAUUAAAAUCAGUGUAAAUUUUUUUUACUUACAAAUUCUUAUCUCCUGCUGUUAACAGCAACUAGCCAAAUUUUAUGGGUUUUGCUAGGUUGUUUCCAAGGCAAAUUCACCAGAUCCUUCUGUCGAAUAUGGCUAUGUAAAUCAGGAUUAGCUCCAAUGAAGUCCAUUAAAUUACAUCAGUGAAAUAUUGGUGUGAGAAGAGAUUUAAGCCUUUCAAUUUCAACUGGAAUUUACACAAAUGAAGAAAGAAUAAAGAUAUACAGAAACUAACCA
rnacentral:lncRNA from 1 species